UACGUAGGGGGCCAGCGUUGCUCGGAAUUACUGGGCGUAAAGGGUUCGUAGGCGGUGCGGCAAGUUGGGAGUGAAAUCUCUGGGCUUAACUCAGGGGCUGCUUUCAAAACUGCCGCGCUCGAGUGCGAGAGAGGUCAGUGGAAUUGCAGGUGUAGCGGUGAAAUGCGUAGAUAUCUGCAGGAACACCCGUGGCGAAGGCGGCAUCCUGGACCGGCAUUGACGCUGAGGAGCGAAAGCCAGGGGAGCAAACGGG
rnacentral:rRNA from 1 species